rnacentral:rRNA from 1 species
UGGGAAGGACAGACCUCUGGUGUGCCAGUUGUUGUGCCAACGGCAAUGCUGGGUAGCCAAGUCUGGAUGGGAUAAGCGCUGAAAGCAUCUAAGUGCGAAGCCCACCUCAAGAUGAGAUCUCCCAUCCCGACUUCGGUCGGGAGUAAGACCGCAAGAAGACUACUUGCUUGAUAGGCGGCGUGUGUAAGCAUAGCAAUAUGUUGAGCUAAGCCGUACUAAUGGUCGAGGUCUUUGACCUACCUC